GUGACGUAUUGUCUCUUUAGGGAGAGCACUACGUUGACAUCGUAGGGGUCACUGGUUCAAUCCCAGUCGUGCCCACCA
rnacentral:tRNA from 1 species